AGUGCUUUGAUGAAACCUCAGAUGCAUGACCUUCUGGUCAAACAUCUGCAAUUUCAUAUUGUUGGAGCAUUGUGUUCCUGGAGGUUGUGGCUCUCUAUAAGUUUGCUGUGGUUGAACCAAGAAGGGAAACGUGCAGAUUUCUACAAAAAUUAUGAUUCCAUGAAAGAUUUUAAGGAGAUAAGGAAGGCUGGUAUCUUUUAUAAUACA
rnacentral:lncRNA from 1 species